rnacentral:ncRNA from 2 species
CGCUCAUCCAGAGGGGCAGAGGGACACGGCCCGGUGAAGCCCCGGCAACCCCCCUGACCGGACUCGUUCGCGCGAGGCUCACGGCCAGGGAAGGUGCCAAUUCCGUCUCACGGCGAGAUGCGUCGUGAGGAAGAUGAGGA